rnacentral:lncRNA from 1 species
AGACAAUACAAUGAUCUUGACAUAUUAUACAUCUGAUUCAAAUAGGGUAUGAAUUGUCAUUUUUCCACGUAUACAGAUUGCAGAAUCACAUUGGUUAUACAUCCAUGUGUAUUUAUUUUUAUGUGGUGCUGAGGAUCAAACCUAGUGCCUCACAUUUGCUAGGCAAGUGCUCUACCACUGAGCCACAAUCCCAAUCCCAGGAAUUGCAAAGAUUUUGAUCCAAAAAUUCUGCUUAAAAUUUUUAUUCACAUCAACCAUAAGCCAUGGAACUAAAACCCAUUAUAAGUGUAUAAAAUAUUUUUACUCCAAUAGUCUUCGGAUGGAGAGUAACAUACCUUUUCCUAUUUUUCUAAACUAUUUUUAGAACUUAUAGUACAGAAGAAUUUCAUUUGGCUGUGUCUUUUUGCUUUCUUUCAAUUCUUAUUAUGAGGACUUCCUUCCCCAAACAGUGUUUACUAAAACGUGUGCAAAUUCAACAGUAGAUUUAUAUGCUGUAAAGAUGUGUUUUAUUAUCAGCGCAAACACAUACUUCUAAGUUAUUAAUUACACUUAUCCUCUACAGCUAAUGAUUUAUGAUAAGUUUUCAAUAUCUUGUGCUAAUAUACUUUUCUUCAUAGAUGACAUCUAGUCUACUAGUCAAAGUCUAUUUGAGUCUAAAUGCACUUUGGGGACUAUUGUGAUUUCUAUUAUGGUUUAGAUAUGAGGUACUUCCCAAAAAUUCAUGGGUUAUCCAAAGUGUCAAUGUUCAAAGUUGAAAGGAUUUAAUUAUUAGAGCUGUAACCUCAUCAGUGGAUUAAUCCAUUUGAUGUGUUAAUAAUUUGAAAGAACUACUAUACUAGGUGGUAACUAUAGAUAAGUAGGGUAUAGUUUGAGAAAGUAGGUUACUUGGGGAAUGCCCUUAGGGAUUAUAUUUGUACCUACUCCCUCACUCUCUUUGAUUCCUGGCUGCCAUAAGCUGAGCAGUUCUCCACAACCUACUUCUGACAUGAUAUUCUUCCUCACCUUACCACAGGCCCAGAGCAAUGAAGUUGGUGAUCAUGGACUGAACCUCUGAAACCAUGAGCUCAAAAUAAACUUUUCCUUCUCUAAAUUUUUCUUGUCAGGUAUUUCAUUCAUAGUGACAAAAACUAAGUAAUGUAAUUCUGUUCUUAACUAAGCUUCAUUAUAUUCAAGACCUUUAUUUAUACAUACAAUGAUCUCAGUCUGGUUUUCCCAUUCAUAAAAGAACAUGAUGUAAUAAUACAGUAAUAUAACAGAGUUGUCAAUUUGAACUGGAAGCACCAGAAGUCAAGAAUUUGAAAGGAAAUUUGGAGACAUACAAGAGGUCAUAUCUGCACAAUAGAUACUAUUGAGGGAUGUCAGUAUAUGGUUUACUAAGUUUCCAUUAUGUAUAAGCCAAAGUUGGAAAAUUGAAAGUCCUUUCUUUCAGUGUUUUCUGAUACUGUUGCUCUCCUCUGUAAAUCCUGUUUAAUAGAUCCUGGGGUGCUACAUGGAGGAUUGCACACUGGAUGCCCUAUGGAUUUAGUGUGGCUAUUUAUGUCUUUAUUUUCUUUGUCUCAAAGGCCCCUGCAAUUUUCAAUUUCUGAAAAAUUAUUGAAAUAUUUCACAUGAAAACAAAAGUAAGGAUUUCAAGAAAUUAAAACACUUGAAAGGCUAUGGAGCAUAGACUGGAAUCAAUCAGGAUGGGAACUGAUUUCAGGUUCAAUUAUUUUUCACUUAAGAGAGAAUUGUUGUUAAUUCCUAUUAACCUUAGUUUUAUCCACUUGUAAAAUUAGGAUACUGCCUACCUACAGUAUCCUAUACUGCAGGAUUGUUAGUGUUCAAUAAAAUACCUGUAACUUUCCUAGCACAGUAUCUGGCACAGAUAUACUAGGUAUCAACUACUAUUGUUCAAAUUGUCUGCUGCUUUCUGAGUUAUAUGGAUGUUAAUGCCUUGAGUCACAAACAGAAAUGGAUUUUUAAAAAUUGAAUAGGGUUAUAUAAAUUUCCAUUUAGUAAAUUACAUAAAUAGUCUAAUCUGCUGUUUAUACACUUAAGCCUUAAAUUUGCCAAGAUUUUGUUUGAGUGCCAUUGUGGUAUAAUAGAACAAGCAUGCAGGUAUAUUGGUUUUAUAACUGAAAUAAAAUCCUAACUGUUGGUGAAUUUUGGUAAUGUCAGUAAGUACAAAAUAAAAUUUAGAUUUUGUUAACUAAUCUAGUGGGGGUAAUAAUAUCUACUUUGCAGUAAAAACAUGAGCUAGGUAUGUGGUACUUCACAGUAGCUCAAAUAUUCUUUACUUCUUUCAAUUUUUUUGCCUCAAGUAUGCAAAAGAAUCAAGCAUUCCCAUGUUCAAUUCUAGCUAGAAAACAUUGUAUGUAAAUUAUGCCUUAGAUGGUGUGGUGCAGAGAUAUUGGCCAAAUGGUUUAGGAUCUCUGAUAACUAGUACUGGAAGGAACCUUUUACAUGACCUGCUCUAGCUUUGUCAUUCUUGAAAUAACGGCACCAAAUAUUACACCUUACCUAAAAUCCCACAUAAUAACAUAGUAUGUUAAAUUUGUAUGUGUGUUUAGGUUAAAAACUGUUUGUACGCAUCACCUUUGAGACAAUUGAUGUGCAAUUGCUUAACAAAUUCUGUUUCCUUGUAAUAGAGAAUUAGAAUUUGAAAGAGAUAUUUCAUUACUUUAAUGUUGAAUGUAUAGCUAAAUUAAACUCUCCAGCAUUUAACAUUUACACAUGGUGAUGAUCUCAAUAUAUGAUCUCAAUAGAGUUGCUCGUGUGUGUGUGUGUGUCUGUGUGUGUUUGUUUUACGAGGGACAACUCAGAGCCUUGCACAUGCUGAAAAAGCACUCAACCAAAUUGUGCUCCCAUCAAGCUACCUUCCCAGCCCUUUUUAAUUUUAUCUUGAGACAGGGUCUUCCAAAGUUGUAAAGGCUGGCCUCCAACUUGCAAUCCUAACUGUCUAGGGCUAAAAGAGGUACAUUUGAGGUACAUUUAAAUGAAUUAUAUUCCAUUGAAGUCGUCUGUCUAAGGUGGAAGGUACUAAUGUCAGGAGUUUCAAAUAGACUCUCUCACCACCAAAGGGGAGACAGGAGGGAGAGGGUGGUUUCCAUUACUGAAGUGACAAGUGAUAAAUGUUUGAUGAGUCAGAUGGAAGUACUAUCUUCACUGACUACAGGUAGAAAAUAAAAUGAACCAUCCUAAAGUAGUUUGCACUCAGACUGAGAUGGACUUUGGAUCCUUGGCCACAGACUCCUAGAUAAUGGAUGCAUAUUGCUGUCCUUUC